rnacentral:rRNA from 1 species
AGAGUUUGAUCCUGGCUCAGAUUGAACGCUGGCGGCAGGCCUAACACAUGCAAGUCGAACGGUAACAGGAAGCAGCUUGCUGCUUCGCUGACGAGUGGCGGACGGGUGAGUAAUGUCUGGGAAGCUGCCUGAUGGAGGGGGAUAACUACUGGAAACGGUAGCUAAUACCGCAUAAUGUCGCAAGACCAAAGAGGGGGACCUUCGGGCCUCUUGCCAUCGGAUGUGCCCAGAUGGGAUUAGCUUGUUGGUGGGGUAACGGCUCACCAAGGCGACGAUCCCUAGCUGGUCUGAGAGGAUGACCAGCCACACUGGAACUGAGACACGGUCCAGACUCCUACGGGAGGCAGCAGAAGGGCGAAUU